AACAGUGAGGUUAAGGUUCUGUGUUGUCAGUAAUCCUGAAUAUCUGCUGAGUCUUUGAAGUUAAACUGGAGAAAACAGUAAAUUUACUCUCUAGUUGUUAAUAUUGUUUAAUGAUUGAUUCACAUGUUGUAGUACGUAUUCCUGCAGUGUAGACUGGAAAAAAUAAACUCCCAGAAUAUGUCCAAAGUAAUGAUGAACACUACAGUUACUACAUUUAAAUUACAGCACAGAUAAACUGGAUAAUAAAAUCCUCUCCUCUAAAGCUAAAGUGACUACAGGCCUUUCUGUCUUUCAGUGCUUGGAAAACUAUAUGACAGAGGAAAUCCUUCCAGGGAUACUUUAAAAUGAACCUCUGCUGUUGAUGCUGAUACUGUGACAUCUGUCUUCAUCUCAGGUGUCUCAUGUUCACUGUGAGGAUCUUCUGAGUGAAGCCAGCAGAAGGAAAACCUCAUCUGGAUGUGAAGAAGGAGACUGAAUGGACGGACAUCCUCAGUGAACCACUUCCUGUUUAACUUUCACUUACAGAAGAGUGAAAGUAGCAAUUCCUCCUUAAAGUCAGAGAUUGCAGCAUCUGAGGGCCUCUUCAAAAGAAGACGUAGUUGAUGAAGGUGUUCUGGAGCAGGACCAGAAAGACCACGACCAAGCAGCCUUGAGAUCUUAGGCAGCGUCUCCCUCAGGUCCCUCUCUAUCUCCCCACACAUCCACCAACCACUGGAACACAUCUCCAAAGUUCUGCUGGGCCAGCUCAGCUUCCCCUCAGAAGAAGUGGCGCCACCUGCCAGAUGAAGGAGCCUUUUGAGAGGCAGCUGGCAUCGUGAUUGGACUGUACUUUGGUCUGUUCCAAUCCAGCUUCAGCUCCAGAGACCUCAGGCGGGACGAGUCAACGGAGGCCGGAUGGACGAAGGCAUGCAGCUGAGUACAAUCCAGAAAACAACAGAGGAGGAGUGCAGGGCCAGAACAACCAGAGUAGCAUGACCAAAGAACUACAGACUCUUCACAACCUGCUCAAACUCUUGGUACAGGACCUCACCACACGGGUCAAGAAGGUUUCCGUCUCAUUUCUACUCUGAAGCUCACCUUCUCCUGCUCAAACUGCUGACAAAUGUUUCUGCUGCUCUAAAGUCUGCUCUCCAGAACUUCCUAAAAACUCUCAAAGUCUCUUCUGCUGCAGGUUGCUAUGUAGAACUGUUCCAGAAAACCUCACUAAACCACAUGGAGGGGCCUCAAGAUAGUCGUCCAAAUGAAACCGUACAAAAACCAAACUAGUACAACCCAAACGCUAAAGUCUCCUGCAGCCUACCAGAGAACCUCUGAGAACAGAGAAUCAGGACAGGAACUCUUACCUUCUGGACAACCAACGCUAGUUCUCAAACAAGAAUACAGAAUGUGUCUGAGCAAAAACCUCUAAAGACUCACUACAGCCAAGAUAAAGACACAACUCAGCUGUACCAAAUCCACUAAUCACUGCACACAUUAGCACCAUGUGCUAACUGUGGCUAAAGAACCACAUUUACCAAGACAACUAUCCGGUACAAAGCCCUAAAACACACCAAGAAACACAUUAAAGACGAUUUUACUGCUGGAAGCUGCAAGCCAAAGAACAAACUAAAGCAAUGGAGCCAAACCCGGUUCAGUGGUCAAGAGAAGCAGAGGAAAUGUUUGUCUGCAGCUAAAUAAACGAGGAAGACACUGAGCUGCUCAGGUGUUCCUGAUAACACCAAGCAGCCACCUGGACAGCCAAUAGGAACACAGCUUCCUGGAAGUCCAGAGGGCUGGGUCAGUGAAGUAAAUUUAGUUUAAAGUUGAAGCAGAAAGUUAACAAAGUUGAAAACCACCUUCUGAUACCUGAUGAGUUUUCACACAAAGAACACCUGAACAUGUCAAACUGGCUCCAUAGUAGAACCCUCAUUGUAAAACGUCAUAGUAUGGUGUGUUGCUUAAAAAACAUUACGACCUGGCUGUCUAGGGUUGCCGAGGAACAACACAAAAACAGGACAAACGCUGGUUUCCAGGGGGUUAGGAGGCUAUUUAUUUGAAAGAGUAAGUUUACAACAAUACAACAUGUGAGCAGAAAAAUCACAAAGUCUGUCUUUAGUUCAGCUGAAAAUAACAGUUUUUGUCUUUUUUAUUGACCAAACUUUUCAGGAAGUAGAAAGAAAAACACCUUAGUUUAGUAUGUCGUCCAAAAUGUGGAAAAAAAGGUCAUAGUUUAGUAUGUCGUCCAAAAUGUGGAAAAACACCUCAUAGUUUAGUAUGCUGUCUAAAAUGUGACAAAAACAUCAUAGUUUAGUAUGUCAUCCAAAAUACCGGCGUUACUGAGUCCAAAGCUGCUGUUUCAACACAGAACGUUCACAUGCAUCCACAAACCUCUCAGCACUCAAACACCCACAGACAGGAGGCCGGCUGGGCCGAGGCUCGGCGGCGUCCUCAGACCCACGAGUCCGGGAGUCGGUGAACUUGUUGGUCCGGUUUGAAGGCCUCCGUGUGGUCCAGUAGAAGUCCAUGUAGUCGGUGUUGGCUUUGAACCGCAGCGACCGGCCACCAUCAGGUGGACCGGCUCGUCCUUGUAGGGCUCCUCCUGUAGCCUUGAGGGGACCACAGGAACAUUCAGUAGCUGUUGGAGUUCUUCCUGUCAGGCUCGUGGAAGAACGGCUCUGAAGAAUCUUGUACUUGUCUUAUCUGGAACACUCUAACAGCCUAAACUGUUAACAGCAGUGUAAAGAAGCAAACACACAGGCAUAGAUUAGGACUCAAACUAGAUUUAUUUUAGAAAACAAAUCAACUUAGAGGCAUUUGUUCACACGUGGCUGAAUAGGAGGCCGUCCAAUCAGAUUUGAGGUCUUCACUCUGUAGGUUGUUUGUUGCUUUCAGAUGGAAGGAUUUACUUCUAAGUUCUAAUUCAACUUUCAGUUGGAGCAC